rnacentral:misc_RNA from 1 species
AUUAUGAUGUAUGGAAGCAUUUGAGGAUAAACAGAUAGUGCAAUAUUGCUCUGGUAGGGGCUACCUUUUCAUUGCCAAUUAUAAAUUAAAUACGUGAUAAAUUGUUUGUGGUUUUCUCCCCUUUAUAUAUAUAAUAUAUAUAUAUAUAUUGAAGAAGAAGAAUAUAGAUAGACUGAUUGGUAGAAUAUGGAGCACUGACAAAGUUUGGACACAACUACAUGUUUCUUUGAGUUCUAAUUAAGUUGGCUCAAAUUGAGAAUAUAAAGACCAAAUGAAUUGCUUAAAAAAAAUUAUCCUUUGUAUCAGUUUCUAGGAGCUCUUAUAAUGUAUUUUUUAUGAUGACACUAUUAGGAGCUGUGGGAGUUUAUGGAAGUAAUAACAAGCAAUAAAUAAAUUUAGAUGGGAUACAGUCUAUUGCUUGUUUUAUAAAUAAGUACACUAAUAAGUUGAUGAUUUAACGUGGAAUAGUGCUUUCCUGCAUAUGGGCAAGUUGUUGGGAAGAAAAGGAAGGAGAGGAAGAAAAGGGAAUGAAAAGAAAGAAAGGGGGGUGAGGAAGAGAAGGGAAUGAAAAGAAAGAAAGGGGGGUGAGGAAGAG